rnacentral:tRNA from 1 species
UUUGUGGCUGACUGGUAAAGCGUUUGGUUUCCAAACCAAGGGGUCCUGGGUUCAAAUCCAGGUGAA